UGGGGAAUUUUGGACAAUGGGCGCAAGCCUGAUCCAGCAAUGCCGCGUGCAGGAUGAAGGCCUUCGGGUUGUAAACUGCUUUUGUACGGAACGAAACGGCUCUGGUUAAUACCUGGGGCUAAUGACGGUACCGUAAGAAUAAGCACCGGCUAACUACGUGCCAGCAGCCGCGGUAAUACGUAGGGUGCGAGCGUUAAUCGGAAUUACUGGGAGUAAAGCGUGCGCAGGCGGUGAUGUAAGACAGAUGUGAAAUCCCCGGGCUCAACCUGGGACCUGCAUUGGUGACGGUAUAGCUAGAGUACGGUAGAGGGGGAUGGAAUUCCGCGUGUAGCAGUGAAAUGCGUAGAUAUGCGGAGGAACACCGAUGGCGAAGGCAAUCCCCUGGACCUGUACUGACGCUCAUGCACGAAAGCGUGGGGAGCAAACA
rnacentral:rRNA from 1 species